CUCUGAGAUGGAUGUUGUUCCUGUUUUACCCAGGAGGAAACUGAGGUCCAGAGAGUUAGCAGCCCUUCCCUGGAAAGGCCCGAGGCUCUGUGUGGAAGGAGAUAAGAUGCCGCAGCUUCCAGCAGACCUGCAUUAGCCAGAGCGACGUCAGGCACACUGUGUCCCGAGAGGAGAAAACCAGCAACAGCAAGGGUUUAGCAGUUGGACCUGCUGGCCCAAUCCUUGAGAAUCACCCUGAAGCCUGUUAUGCAGAAAAAAGCAGCAGCAGGAAGGAACUUGGCCGGAGAGCUGGGCAUUGCCCUCACCUGCCCGAAUCGAAUUCUGCCCCUGUUCCUCCUCCCGCCUGGCCGGGGAGAGCUGGGGGUGCCACAUGGCCGCCCCCGGUUGGGCUCCCCUGGGCCUGCCUCCCUGCCCCUCCGUCCAGCCCGGACCAGCCCAGUCCAGCGUGCUCCGUGGGCUGAAGUCAUUUGGAGCGCGCCAGUUCGCCUCCCGUACGGGUGUGCAGCCGGGAUAACGGUGAUUAAUGCACGUGUCUGGUGGGGCCUUCAGGGUAAUUCGAUUUGCUUGAUAUCUAGAGUGAUCGCCCCUCCUUCCUGCCUGCUCCCUUUCUUUGCCUGACUUUGUGGCAGCGUUUACCUUCCUUGGUGUUUUAAGGUGAUGAACGACACUUGUUUCUGGUGUUUGUUUCCGCCCAAGUUUUAAUUAAA